GCUGGCGGCGCGCCUAAUACAUGCAAGUCGAGCGAGAAGGUGUAGCAAUACACUUGUAAAGCGGCGAACGGGUGAGGAAUGCAUGGGUAACCUACCCUCGAGUGGGGAAUAACUAGCCGAAAGGUUAGCUAAUACCGCAUACGUUUCCGGGACUUCGGUUCCGGAAAGAAAGCAAUACCGUGGGUAUUGCGCUCAUGGAUGGGCUCAUGUCCUAUCAGCUUGUUGGUGAGGUAACGGCUCACCAAGGCUUCGACGGGUAGCUGGUCUGAGAGGACGAUCAGCCACACUGGCACUGCGACACGGGCCAGACUCCUACGGGAGGCAGCAGUAAGGAAUAUUGCGCAAUGGACGAAAGUCUGACGCAGCGACGCCGCGUGGGGGAUGAAGGUCUUCGGAUUGUAAACCCCUUUCGGGAGGGAAGAUGGAGUGGGUAACCACUUGGACGGUACCUCCAGAAGCAGCCACGGCUAACUUCGUGCCAGCAGCCGCGGUAAUACGAAGGUGGCAAGCGUUGUUCGGAUUCACUGGGCGUACAGGGAGCGUAGGCGGUUGGGUAAGCCCUCC
rnacentral:rRNA from 1 species